rnacentral:rRNA from 1 species
GAUGAACGCUGGCGGCGUGCCUAAUACAUGCAAGUCGAGCGAAUGGAUUAAGAGCUUGCUCUUAUGAAGUUAGCGGCGGACGGGUGAGUAACACGUGGGUAACCUGCCCAUAAGACUGGGAUAACUCCGGGAAACCGGGGCUAAUACCGGAUAACAUUUUGAACCGCAUGGUUCGAAAUUGAAAGGCGGCUUCGGCUGUCACUUAGGGAUGGACCCGCGUGGCAUUAGCUAGUUGGUGAGGUAACGGCUCACCAAGGCAACGAUGCGUAGCCGACCUGAGAGGGUGAUCGGCCACACUGGGACUGAGACACGGCCCAGACUCCUACGGGAGGCAGCAGUAGGGAAUCUUCCGCAAUGGACGAAAGUCUGACGGAGCAACGCCGCGUGAGUGAUGAAGGCUCUCGGGUCGUAAAACUCUGUUGUUAGGGAAGAACAAGUGCUAGUUGAAUAAGCUGGCACCUUGACGGUACCUAACCAGAAAGCCACGGCUAACUACGUGCCAGCAGCCGCCGCCG